CCUACGGGAGGCAGCAGUGAGGAAUAUUGGUCAAUGGGCGCGAGCCUGAACCAGCCAAGUCGCGUGAGGGAGGACGGCCCUACGGGUUGUAAACCUCUUUUGUCGGGGAGCAACGGGCGUCACGUGUGUCGCCACUGAGAGUACCCGGAGAAAAAGCAUCGGCUAACUCCGGCCCAGCAGCCGCGGUAAUACGGAGGAUGCGAGCGUAAUCCGGAUUGAUUGGUUUUAACGGGGGCGUAGUCGGAUCGUUAAGUCAGUGGUCAAAUUGAGGGGCUCAACCCCUUCCCGCCAUUGAUACUGGCGUUCUUGAGUGGAAGAGAAGUAUGCGGAAUGCGUGGUGUAGCGGUGAAAUGCAUAGAUAUCACACAGAACCCCGAUUGCGAAGGCAGCAUGCCGGCUUCCGACUGACGCUGAAGCACGAAAGCGUGGGGAUCGAACAGGAUUAGAUACCCUUGUAGUC
rnacentral:rRNA from 1 species